AAAAACUUGUUUUCCUUUGACCACCGCCUCAAUAUCCAUCAUUCUAUUACUAGAAUAUAGAAUUUUCACCUGAUACUCAUUAUUAUAAAAAAGAGCUGAACCACCGCUCCUCCCAUUUGGAUCCACAGUAGUCAAACUAUCAUAUCCAAAGUGUGGUUGAAACCAUUGUACAAACUCAAAAUCCUGUUUCGUUUCAGAUAAAAAUAAAAAAUCCGGUUUGUGUUUAUGCCAUGUCUCCCAAAGAUAACUUAUGGUCCAACGACUCCCAAGACCUCUACAAUUCCAGCUUAAUAUUUUCAUAUAUAAAAAACC
rnacentral:lncRNA from 1 species